rnacentral:lncRNA from 1 species
AAAAACUACUACCAUCCACUAUUACAUGCCUAGUAGAUAUAUCAAAAGAAGCUCCCUCCUUGUCUACUUGAAUAGUUCUACAGAUAAACAAAAAGGGAGACCGUCCAUUCUUCAAAAAAGGGAUGCGACUUCAUCCUUCUGCCCUCCUUUGCUAGCCUAUCCGUAGCUUUGUUGGUCAUUCUCCCUUCAUGCUUGACCUGUGGAAUCCCCAACCUCUGAAGAAGAUCCCUGUAAAGUACCAUUAAAUUAGUGUUUGGUUCUGUACAAGUAUUGCAAGCAUUAGCUAGCAGUUCAGAAUCUGUAGCAAUACAUAUAUUAGAACAUCUUAGUUUUGGCUUUCAGAGGAGUUUUGACACUAAUUUUCGUCAUAAAACCUUUAAUCCAGUUCCCCUAUUAUCCCUAAUAAUACCCCUCGCUCCUCCUAUUCUUGUGUUAUGGUUGAAGGACUCGUCUAUGUUAAGUUUUAG